rnacentral:rRNA from 1 species
UACGAGGGGGGCAAAUGUUGUUCGGAAUCACUGGGCGUAAAGGGAACGUAGGCGGGUUCUUAAGUAAGGUGUUUAAUCCCGGGGCCCAACCCCGGACCGGCACUUUAAACUGGGAAUCUUGAAUAGUGGAGAGGUCGGUGGAAUUGGGGGUGUAGCGGUGGAAUGCGUAGAGAUCCCCAAGAACACCAGUUGCGAAGGCGGCCGACUGGACACAUAUUGACGCUGAGGCUCGAAAGCAUGGGGAGCAAACAGG